rnacentral:rRNA from 1 species
AACGGCCGUACCAUGCUGAAUAUACCGGUUCUCGUUAGAUCACCGAAGUCAAGCAUCAUUGGGCGCGGUCGGUACUUGGGUGGGUGACCACCUGGGAACACCGCGUGCCGUU